UUCUACAGCCAUGCUACCCUGAACGUGCCCAACCUUGUCUGAUCUUGGAAGCUAAGCCUGGUUAGUACUUGGAUAGGAGACCACCUAGGAAUGCUAGGUGCUGUAGCAA
rnacentral:rRNA from 1 species